rnacentral:rRNA from 1 species
UACGUAGGUGGCGAGCGUUUGUCCGGAUUUACUGGGCGUAAAGAGCGCGCAGGCGGUCGUUCAAGUCGCGUGUGAAAGCCCCCGGCUCAACUGGGGAGGGUCACGCGAUACUGAUCGACUCGAAGGCAGGAGAGGGAAGUGGAAUUCCCCGGUGUAGUGGUGAAAUGCGUAGAUAUCGGGAGGAACACCAGUGGCGAAGGCGGGUCUCUGGGCCGAUACUGACGCUGAGGAGCGAAAGCGUGGGGAGCGAACAGG